rnacentral:rRNA from 1 species
UACGAAGGGGGCUAGCGUUGCUCGGAAUCACUGGGCGUAAAGGGUGCGUAGGCGGGUCUUUAAGUCAGGGGUGAAAUCCUGGAGCUCAACUCCAGAACUGCCUUUGAUACUGAGAGGCUUGAGUCCGGGAGAGGUGAGUGGAACUGCGAGUGUAGAGGUGAAAUUCGUAGAUAUUGGGAAGAACACCGGUGGCGAAGGCGGCUCACUGGCUCGUAUCUGACGCUCAGGCGCGACAGCGUGAGGAUCAAACAGG